GAGACACCCUUAUGGAGCAUGAUUUGCUUCAUUGGGGCUUUGGUGCUCAUUGAAUCUGCCCCUUGAGUGUGUUGCU
rfam:Myotis lucifugus cont2.41982, whole genome shotgun sequence.